GAUGAACGCUGGCGGCGUGCCUAAUACAUGCAAGUCGAGCGAACGGACGAGAAGCUUGCUUCUCUGAUGUUAGCGGCGGACGGGUGAGUAACACGUGGAUAACCUACCUAUAAGACUGGGAUAACUUCGGGAAACCGGAGCUAAUACCGGAUAAUAUUUUGAACCGCAUGGUUCAAAAGUGAAAGACGGUCUUGCUGUCACUUAUAGAUGGAUCCGCGCUGCAUUAGCUAGUUGGUAAGGUAACGGCUUACCAAGGCAACGAUGCAUAGCCGACCUGAGAGGGUGAUCGGCCACACUGGAACUGAGACACGGUCCAGACUCCUACGGGAGGCAGCAGUAGGGAAUCUUCCGCAAUGGGCGAAAGCCUGACGGAGCAACGCCGCGUGAGUGAUGAAGGUCUUCGGAUCGUAAAACUCUGUUAUUAGGGAAGAACAUAUGUGUAAGUAACUGUGCACAUCUUGACGGUACCUAAUCAGAAAGCCACGGCUAACUACGUGCCAGCAGCCGCGGUAAUACGUAGGUGGCAAGCGUUAUCCGGAAUUAUUGGGCGUAAAGCGCGCGUAGGCGGUUUUUUAAGUCUGAUGUGAAAGCCCACGGCUCAACCGUGGAGGGUCAUUGGAAACUGGAAAACUUGAGUGCAGAAGAGGAAAGUGGAAUUCCAUGUGUAGCGGUGAAAUGCGCAGAGAUAUGGAGGAACACCAGUGGCGAAGGCGACUUUCUGGUCUGUAACUGACGCUGAUGUGCGAAAGCGUGGGGAUCAAACAGGAUUAGAUACCCUGGUAGUCCACGCCGUAAACGAUGAGUGCUAAGUGUUAGGGGGUUUCCGCCCCUUAGUGCUGCAGCUAACGCAUUAAGCACUCCGCCUGGGGAGUACGACCGCAAGGUUGAAACUCAAAGGAAUUGACGGGGACCCGCACAAGCGGUGGAGCAUGUGGUUUAAUUCGAAGCAACGCGAAGAACCUUACCAAAUCUUGACAUCCUUUGACAACUCUAGAGAUAGAGCUUUCCCCUUCGGGGGACAAAGUGACAGGUGGUGCAUGGUUGUCGUCAGCUCGUGUCGUGAGAUGUUGGGUUAAGUCCCGCAACGAGCGCAACCCUUAAGCUUAGUUGCCAUCAUUAAGUUGGGCACUCUAAGUUGACUGCCGGUGACAAACCGGAGGACGGGGGGGAUGACGUCAAAUCAUCAUGCCCCUUAUGAUUUGGGCUACACACGUGCUACAAUGGACAAUACAAAGGGCAGCGAAACCGCGAGGUCAAGCAAAUCCCAUAAAGUUGUUCUCAGUUCGGAUUGUAGUCUGCAACUCGACUACAUGAAGCUGGAAUCGCUAGUAAUCGUAGAUCAGCAUGCUACGGUGAAUACGUUCCCGGGUCU
rnacentral:rRNA from 1 species